rnacentral:rRNA from 1 species
UUCCAGACUCCUACGGGAGGCAGCAGUGGGGAAUAUUGCACAAUGGGGGAAACCCUGAUGCAGCGACGCCGCUUGAGCGAUGAAGUAUUUCGGUAUGUAAAGCUCUAUCAGCAGGGAAGAAGAUGACGGUACCUGACUAAGAAGCCCCGGCUAACUACGUGCCAGCAGCCGCGGUAAUACGUAGGGGGCAAGCGUUAUCCGGAUUUACUGGGUGUAAAGGGAGCGUAGACGGCGAUGCAAGCCAGAUGUGAAAGCCCGGGGCUCAACCCCGGGACUGCAUUUGGAACUGUGUGGCUGGAGUGUCGGAGAGGCAGGCGGAAUUCCUAGUGUAGCGGCGAAAUGCGUAGAUAUUAGGAGGAACACCAGUGGCGAAGGCGGCCUGCUGGACGAUGACUGACGUUGAGGCUCGAAAGCGUGGGGAGCAAACAGGAUUAGAUACCCGAGUA